rnacentral:rRNA from 1 species
UACGGAGGGGGCUAGCGUUGUUCGGAAUUACUGGGCGUAAAGCGCACGUAGGCGGCUUUGUAAGUUAGAGGUGAAAGCCCAGGGCUCAACCCUGGAAUUGCCUUUAAGACUGCAUCGCUUGAAUUGUGGAGAGGUAAGUGGAAUUCCGAGUGUAGAGGUGAAAUUCGUAGAUAUUCGCAAGAACACCAGUGGCGAAGGCGGCUCACUGGCCCGAUACUGACGCUGAGGCACGAAAGCGUGGGGAGCAAACAGG